rnacentral:rRNA from 1 species
UACGAAGGGGCUAGCGUUGCUCGGAAUGACUGGGCGUAAAGGGCGCGUAGGCGGCUUGCACAGUCAGGCGUGAAAUUCCUGGGCUCAACCUGGGGACUGCGCUUGAGACGUGUGGGCUUGAGUGGGGAAGAGGGUCGUGGAAUUCCCAGUGUAGAGGUGAAAUUCGUAGAUAUUGGGAAGAACACCGGUGGCGAAGGCGGCGACCUGGUCCUUGACUGACGCUGAGGCGCGAAAGCGUGGGGAGCAAACAGG